rnacentral:rRNA from 1 species
AGUGAACGCUGGCGGUAGGCCUAACACAUGCAAGUCGAACGGCAGCACAGUAAGAGCUUGCUCUUACGGGUGGCGAGUGGCGGACGGGUGAGGAAUACAUCGGAAUCUACUUUUUCGUGGGGGAUAACGUAGGGAAACUUACGCUAAUACCGCAUACGACCUACGGGUGAAAGCAGGGGAUCUUCGGACCUUGCGCGAUUGAAUGAGCCGAUGUCGGAUUAGCUAGUUGGCGGGGUAAAGGCCCACCAAGGCGACGAUCCGUAGCUGGUCUGAGAGGAUGAUCAGCCACACCGGAACUGGGACACGGUCCAGACUCCUACGGGAGGCAGCAGUGGGGAAUAUUGGACAAUGGGCGCAAGCCUGAUCCAGCCAUACCGCGUGUGUGAAGAAGGCCUUCGGGUUGUAAAGCCCUUUUGUUGGGAAAGAAAAGCAGCAGGUUAAUACCCCGCUGUUCUGACGGUACCCAAAGAAUAAGCACCGGCUAACUUCGUG